UUCUUGCAGCUAUAAAAAUAUUUAUCGUGACAUGGAGCAGAGCAUCAAAACAGCGGAUGCUGUUGAAGAUCUAAGGUGGUUCAGAGCUAAUCAUGGACCUGGCAUGUCUAUGAACUGGCCCCAGUUUGAGGACUGGUCAGCUGAUUUGAACCGUUCUCUAAGUAGAAGGGAGAAAAAAAAGGCAACAGAUGGUGUGACUUUGACCAAUAUUAACCAAACAGGAGAUCAGCAAUCGCCGCAAAAAAAUAGCAGGUAGAUGAUAUUUUU